rnacentral:rRNA from 1 species
UGAGCAAUCUGCCCUUCUCAUCGGAAUAAGCGUUGGAAACGACGUCUAAUGCCGAAUACGACCUCCUUUCACAUGAUCGGAGGUGGAAAGCUCCGGCGGAGAAGGAUGAGCUCGCGGCCUAUCAGCUAGUUGGUGUGGGUAACAGCCCACCAAGGCGACGACGGGUAGCCGGCCUGAGAGGGUGACCGGCCACACUGGGACUGAGACACGGCCCAGACUCCUACGGGAGCAG